CUUUCAACAACGGAUCUCUUGGUUCCAGCAUCGAUGAAGAACGCAGCGAAAUGCGAUAAGUAAUGUGAAUUGCAGAAUUCAGUGAAUCAUCGAAUCUUUGAACGCACAUUGCGCUCCUCGGCAUUCCGGGGGG
rnacentral:rRNA from 1 species